rnacentral:lncRNA from 1 species
AAUCAAUAUUUUUGCUUACAAAGGUGACCCAUCCAUCUUUUCCAUGGCAGCUUGGCCAGGGAAUUGGCAGGAUCCACAGGGGCCAGGUUUUCACCAUUUGGGACAAGUCAGGGAUUAAUUUCCCCCAAGUCCCUCUGCUCACUCUCCUUGGGGCUUUGUGACACAAAUUUCCCUGAAAGAAGCAAUCCAGAGGUGGCAACUUCCUGGAUAGUGGAAAAAACCAAUUUCAGUGGCCACUAAUUUUCAUUUCUUGAACAGCAGCUUGAAUUCUCUUAGUGGAAGUUAACUCACAGUGCCAGGAUAAAAGGAGAUUCCUUAAUUCCAUUUCCCUGAGUCUCAGCCUGGGAGUGAGAGUGGAUUUUACAGGUGCACAGAUCAGUCCCACAUGAAACCACCCAAGAUUUAUUGGACAGGGGUUGUUUGCUUUUUAAUCACAUUUAUUAUCACUGGGAAGCUCAACACAAAGGUCACUCCUUCAGCUGGUUCCUGUAAUUGACAUUUAUGAUUACUGAGAUGUCUCCCAUGAUACCACAAAUUCUCAGGUUUUAAAUUAAAAAAAAAAUGUUUUAAAAUUCUGUUUUGUCUUAAGAUAAGCAUUUUUCUUUACCUUAGCUGUAGUUCUUUGUGACUUUACAGAGGAAAAGGGUGAGAAGUUGGCAGUGAAAAUGUAUUUAUUUAUGAUACAGGGAUAGAGAGAUACAUGUGAGUGCAGGUACAGCUGUGGAUUCAUGCACACACAUCAAACACAUCUUUUUGAGGUGAUAACCUCUCACUUCACUGACUGGUUGAGGUCUCCACCUUCCUGUUUCAUGUUAAACAUCUUCCCUGUCGUAUUUGUGCCUUUUUGGGUUCCACCCCGUGGCAGAAGUGUGAUGUGGUGCGAAGCCAGGCUGCACAAACCAGUGUGUGUGGCAUUGUAUUCAAGCACUUCAGAGGGAAGUGGCUGAAUUAAAUAACUCAUUUCCAGCUAAGGAAGGUGGACUGCAGUGCUGGAGACACGUCCUGACCCCCCUGGGAUGAUGUUAUGAUCCAAAUAUUGAGAAAUUCCUCUGCACAAAUUAAUCUGCACAGGAGACCAUGUGCUGGAGUCAAUAGUUCUGAUUUUAUUUAACAGUAAAUGUGAGGUGG